ACAGUGGUCAUACAAUACAAAUGUUUUUGUCCGCCCUGAAGCCUUCCGAUGUUAUAUGUACCAUUCGAGCGGUGCAACGAAAGUCUAUCAUAUACGUAUCACGUGUCAAGUUGGUUCACCUACCGGAUAUUAAUAUUUUGAAGUCUACAGAACUGAGUAGGAUUACGUACGACCCAGAUAUGCUCGAGGCA